GAAAAGUUUUCCUUGAAGAAGGCCACAGGCUCAGCUAAGCAACUGAUCACAGUCUAUGGAAGUGAGGCGUUUUUUCUGUUGAGGGGGCAGGAGAGGCAAUUUAGUUCUUAGUUCUUUGCCAUAAAUAACGGAUUAAAAAGCUUAGCCGAUGCUAUAAAUUAAAAAUGUGAAACUAAUUAUGCCAGCCCCAUAAAAGUGAAACAAUCAAUUCAUAACCCAAGUAUGUGAUGUGACAGCAUCUACUGGGUAUGACAGCUCAAGAGUAGCAGAGGGGACCCAGGAAUCCUACCCAAAGCUGUCCUCCAGCCCAGAACCACAGGCCCGCUCCUGUGUGGCAAGGCAUAAAGGCAGUAGCUCUGUUUUGUUCUCUACCCAUUUUUUUUUUUCAUGACAACAGUUCCAUCCUUUCUCCACCCCUUCCAUGCAGGCCCGUUCCUCAAAGGCGAGGCUCACCCAUACCAACAAGCACAGCUGCACUUUUGCCAAUUCAAACCAGAUGGGUCUGGAAGGCAGCUGCUGCCAAGGCUAUAAUUCAACCGGGAAUUCCUAAAUGUUUCAACCAGCCAUUUAAUAAUGUUCUAGCUGCAGUUUUCUCCCUUCUAAAUACGUGAGUGAGGCCAACUUGCCUGGACCCUGCAGUUUCAGAAGAGUUCUCGGGCUUGCUCAAUGGAUUGUUUCCUUCUGUUUUACACGGACGCAGACUCUACAUAUCAUAAGCCGCCUGCGGUUUCUCCACCCCCAGCUUGUCCUCUCCCUGGUGUGGUGGAAUGAAUCACUGUUCGCAAUUCUUCAUGCCCGCUGUGUCUGAGAAUUAUACAUCCACAGCUUUUGUCUUGUGAUUUUGUGGUUCUUCCCAUUAGAGGGACAGAGACUUUCCUCAUUGCAUUGGUGUGUGGCUCAGCUGUGUGACUUGGUGUGGUUAAUGCAACGUGUGUGUGUGUGUGUGUGUGUGUGUCCGUGUGUUGGCUGGUUCUAGACUGAGACCUCAAGAGGCAAAGCAUCUUUCUGUCUGUGCUUAUACUUGUAUAGUGACUGGUCUGAGAAGGAUGAGCGUACAGUUGACUUGAAUCCAUCUUGCAAUCUGGAGUCUAGCUCACCUGAUCCCAGCUGAGUACAGUAGAGCCAAAGCAGGUCUAAAGACACACAGGGGAAAAGAAAUGCUUGCUGUUUUAAGAUACUCAGUUUGGGGAAAGUUUGUUAUGCAGCAUUAUUGUGGCAACUGCUGACUGAUGCACUUGCUACCUCAAUUAUCUUUCCUAAACUGCCAUGGAAUUGUUUGUCCCUUGCUGUAUAGUUUCUGGCUACUUUUGGGACAAAUCCUAACUCUUUACCAUAUAAUUCAAGGUUCCUACCAACCCAUCUCUAGCUUAAGGGUCAGUUUCUCUGCAAAAACUUCCUCAACUGAAUCGAUUUCCCUUCUGUGGGUUUCCAGAGCGUGCUGGUGAUCUACCGCAUCAGAACUUCUUAUAUUGGAUAUGUCUCUUGUGAGAUCUGACUCCCUCAAAAGCCUAUGGACUCCAGAGUCAAGAGUCAGCCUGUUCAUCUUUGGAGCCUCAACACUAGACUACGGUAAACAGGUUGGACUUACGUAGUAAUGAUUAUGGCCUGCCUGAUUUUGAUAGGAAACCCUUAUAGACCAUUUAACCACCACAGGUUCUAAUAUUAUCUGAGUGCUUUCAAAAAAGUGCUCAAAUUCCCCAGUUUCCUAGUUCGGGAGGCUUGGUUUACACAAUGACCUGGGUUUCAGGAGGAGUCAGUGGUGCAAAUAUCAUUGAAGGUCAUAAAGAUAUGUUGGGAACCAAGGCCCUGGCCCACUUCAGUUCUCCCCUGGGAUUUCCGCCUGAUCCUUGCUCUAAUGUUGACCCAUGGCCAUUGCCCAAAUAGAGGGAGCAGAAAGCAGGCUGGAGUUUGAUUUUCCCAGUUGAUUCGGUCACAGUUUUGCCGGUAAUAAUGUUGCUGUUUUCCCUGGGCUGUGACUGUUGCAGGCGAGUCAGAAGGAGCAGGGCUCUCGCCCUCCCGUGGAUCAAUGGUAUCGAUCCUCAGGGCUCCGUGUCAUUUCCAGGGGAUUUGCUAAAGAAGCUACUUAUGUUCCUUUUUCAUUUUCACCAACUCAUUACCAGCUGCUGCAGCCUUCGAGCGUCGCGGCAACACCUGGAGGAGUGGAACAUGACCGUCGGAUUUGAGUGCAGACACCUUCCUUCGAAAUUAAACACAGGACAACGUGUGCGACUCACCCAAACCUGAGCCGAAUGAGGAAGUCAGGUCACACUGGCCCACAGGGGUUUGGUAUUUUUUUGUUUUGUUUUAAAAAGGGCAGCCUGGCCCUACACUAAGCAAUUGAUCCCCUGGCUUAACUUUUAAAUUAAGACCAUUGUAAAUUUGGGAACUUGAGAAGACAUAGAGAGGACACCCAUAAUACUUUGCAAAUGUCAAGUGCCUCUCGAUGUUGGUUACUUUUCAAAGGUAGCUAGGUUACAAUGUACCCUGGUAAUGAAAAAACCCCGUCAGGCCCACUCCACGGGGUUUCAGUCAAUAUACAUAAUAUUAUUGGGCUUUGCAAGGAUUAAAGGUUGUUUCUCUCACAGCCUCACAAUAGGGCUAUUUUUUCCCCUCUACUGAAGGCAUAAAAGAAGUCUCCCUGUUUACAGAGGAGCCCAAGACAUUUUGGGGCCCCAGUGAUGGUCCAGACUUCCCACUGCAUACUUCCCCCUGCUGGUGGCUUUAUAGCCAACCUUAAAAAAAAAAUCUAAUUCUUUUAAUAUAUACAUGAUAAGACUUAAAAAAGUUGAUUAGUGUUUUAUAUUGUCCACAAGCUAUUUCUGGAGUAUAAAAGUUAUGGUUUCUUCCAAUUUUAUUCUGAGAAAGAAAGCUUUCAUAUCAUACUGUCCUUCCCAACCAGCCCGGAUGGUAUUUGGACUACUCCAUAUUUGGUGCAGUUUUGAAACUGCCCACCCUGUGGAAUGGGAUUCCCAGAAUGCAGCAAGAUACGUGGUGUGACCGCAUUCAGGUUCAUACACAUUAGGAGGCUAGAGAUAGCACAACAGAAAUUCUGUAGUGUGUAUGUCAUAUGUCAUAGAACCAUACCUAAACAGGAAAGAAAAUACUCAGUAUGCUUUGGCCUGCACAAUUAAAAGGAAUUUCCAUCUUAAAACCAGAGAUGUGGUUAUUUGGCCCAAGAAACAUGAAAGUAUGGGGAAUAAUCUUGAGCUGCUGAAGAGAUGACCCAAUGAACUCUUUCCCACAUCUCUACGACACACAGAGCUUUCUCAGAACUGGUUUGAUUUUUUAAAAGAAAAAAAAAUGGUAGGGAAUCCCUGCAAAAGUUACCGUUUUAAAGUGUCUAAUUCAGUGGAAUUAAGAACAUUCACAAUGUUGCGCUACUAUCACUGUCCAAAUCCAGAGUGUUUUUAUGACCCCAAACAGAAACCUCAUGCCAAUUAGGAGUCACUGCCCCAUUUCCUUCCCUCCCUCCUCUUCACCCCAGCUUCUCAAACCACAUCUGCCAUUUUGCAUCUAUGGAUUUGCCUAGUCUGGAUAUUUCAUAUAAAUGUGGCCCUUUGUGUCUGGCUUCUUUUACUUAACAUGAUGUCUUCAAGGUUCGUGCAUGCUGUAGCAUCUGUCAGAAGUUAUUGCUUUUUAUGGCUGCCCCUGCCAUAGAAUCUAAGUUAAUGAGAGUUGAAGGCUGCUUCCUCCAGGCAGUGGGGUCCCAGAAAAUAGGCAAGAUUUCUUUUUGAAAAUAGGUUUUGGGGAAAGCUAGGUGAAGUAUAAGUCAAUUAAAAAAACAAAAGAUAGGUUUUUUUUUCCAUUGAUAAAUGCUCUUGGUAUACAGGCCUUCUCAGAGUGUGUAAUAUAACAGAGUAUGCUCUAACCCUCCAAGAGGCCACGAAUAGUAUGGAUGCAGUAUUUUCUAAAAUUCUUUGACUAUGGAAUCUUUUAGUGCUGCUGUGUUCAUUUUGUAGACAUCCAAUCAAGAGGGCUAGUGGGAGCUCAAAUGUAUGUUUCUUGCCCUCUGCUUGCCAAGCCAAGAAUCUGUGGGGUUAUAUUCACUGAGAAGGGUUAUAAUUAUUUUUACUUACUUAUUUAUUUUUUAUUUUUUUCUGGCAAGAAUGGUUUCAAUUUCUCAAUCUUCACAUGGAUUCUCUGUAGGACUUUUUGGUGGAACACUGGGGGUGGAUGUGUGUGUGUGUGUGUGUGUGUGUGUGUGUUGGGGAGAGGUGUGCUCAGGGGACAGCAGUGUUCUACGUAACUGCAGGAUUACCUUUCUGGAGCACUGUUAUAGGAUCAAGGGAACCCAGGGGCAGAUCCCUGUGGACACAGCCUCAUGGAAUUCAUUAGGGAUGAAUAUUUUUGGAAAGCACAGCAGAGCCCUAUUGUAAUAGAGCUACCAUAUUUGAAUUUCUGCAUUUGACUUGUUUCCGACCUCCCUAGAAUAUCUAGCUUGAAUAUAAGCUUUCCUCCUUGGUCAGGAGUUGAGGGGAAGGCUUGGCAAGGUCAGGAUACAGUUUUUGGAAAACAGAGACAGGGGAUGGACCUGAUGAAUUUCAAAGGAUGGAGUAAUACUCUCUAAAGCCCCAAGAACUCAGACAGGGAGUCAUCUGUAGGAUGUGGGGUUAGGAUCCCUCAGGGAAAAACUGAGCUAGAUAUUAAACUGGACACACCUAUGAACUCUCAUCUUGGUGCUUUCUCUGCUCAGAGGUCAGUGAUAUUCAAAAUGAAAAGAAUAUCAGAGCACUAAGGGAUUAUGAGAUUUCUUCUGAAUCAACUCAGGAUGAUUAAAUUAUUUUUAUAUUGUCUUAGUUUUGUUUUUAUAUUCAGGUUCUCUGAAAACUCUUACUCCAUUUGAGAUACUCCUUAGAGGAAAAUUUGGCUAAUCAUAACAUCCCAAUCUAUGGCCAUGAUCAUAAUGGCAAACAGGGUUUACUACAUAAAUAUCCUUCUAGAAUUACAAAAUUGGUAGCCUAUUAUGAUUGCACUAAAUAAAAGCAAUUCUAUACACUGGGCUUCUGUAUCAUGCUUUGUAAAUGUAUAUAUAUGUAUAUGUAUGUGUGUGUGUGAGACACACACAGACACACACACAUAUACUCUGGAUUUAGACAGUGAUAGUAGCACAACACUGUGAAUGUUCUUAAUGCCACUGAAUUAGACACUUUAAAAUGGUAACUUUUACAGGUAUUUUCUA
rnacentral:lncRNA from 1 species